rnacentral:rRNA from 1 species
GACGAACGCUGGCGGCGUGCCUAAUACAUGCAAGUAGGACGCAGUUGCGAACGGGUGAGUAACGCGUAGGUAACUACCUAUUAGAGGGGGAUAACUAUUGGAAACGAUAGCUAAUACCGCAUACUAGUAGAUGGACCUGCGGUGUAUUAGCUAGUAGGUAGGGGAAUGGCCUACCUAGGCAACGAGACAUAGCCGGCCUGGGAGGGGGGUCCGCCAACCUGGGACCGAGACACGGCCCAGAACCCUACGGGAGGCAGAAGUAGGGAAUCUUCGGCAAUUGGGGGAACCCUGACCGAGCAACGCCGCGGGAGUGAAGAAGGGUUUCCGGUCGUAAAGCUCUGUUGGUAAGGAAGCGGUACUUAACCAGAAAGGGACGGCUAACUACGUGCCAGCAGCCGCGGUAAUAC